ensembl:lncRNA
GACUAGGUGGACACCAAGGGUGUGGCAAAACAAGAUAAGCUGUUUAUGAAAAAUUAGUGUCACUUGCUUGGUUACCACCAUGGCUAAACCACCAGACCACUGCAGUUUAAAGAAUUAAAUCAAUCCACUGAUAACACCUAGAAGGCAGGCCUGCCUUACAGGCCCAUCAGAUCAACCAGGUGCCUUGUUUCAAGCAGCGAUGGCAGAAUCCAGGGACUACGGUAAAGGCUGAUACCUCAGUUUGUACUAUAUGAAAAUACACAAUUGACGGUGUUAAUGUUCAGCUUUCUUUAAUAUUUACUCUGCCAAUGAUUGUUAGUAAUUCUCUAGCUUUAAAGAUAUUGUAAUAUUAAGGAAAAUGUACACAAAACAAAAACAUUCUUAUGUGAUAUAUUUGUUUUAUCUGGAUGUUUAUGCCCGUUAGUCGGAGACUUUCUUGCAGAGUUCAAGGAGCAGAUCAUUGUACGGGCAACACGAGUCAGUGACAUCACAGAGGCUGUCGUCUCUGAAAACCUGAUCAAUGACAGGGCAGCCCGUCAAGUUCAAGCUGCUCACACUGAGCAGGAGGCAAUGAGGCUUCUGUUUGAGGCCCUGGAAAGAGAACCUGCUCAACACAAAGUGUCCUUUCAUCUGAUACUGAGAAUGACAGAGCCAGAACUUAUUCAAGAGCUAGAAUGGCGACAACGGAACAGCAAGCAUACCCAGACAGAAGUGGAUCAGUUUUCUAGACAGAAGAAAAGGGAGGAUGACAAGAGUAGAAAGAAUGCUGACACACAGCUAAAGAAAGACUCGCUGAAGAGAAGAAGAAUGGAGACAAUGCAAGCCAUAGAACAGAUUGAGAAACUUUGGGAAGGAACAAAACGAGAGAGAAAUGAGCUUGACAGUAUGAGGGAAAGAAUCCAGAGACAGCAAGAUGAGAUUGCCAGGAUGACAGUCGAGAAAAGACAGCUAGAAGGAAUGUUAGCACAAAUGAGGAUACAGCUGGAACAUGUCAAUGAAAAGAUGCAACAAAACAGGGAGGGGAUAAACCAAGAAAAAGAUAGGAUUGAGCAAAUGAGAACUGACCUGCUAGCAGAGAGGAAUUCCUUGGAACACAAACGUGAUGAAAUUGUCAGAGAGAGACAAAACAUAGAAAUAAUGAAGUAUGAGACAUUGAGAGCAAAAGAGGAGAUGGAGAGCAGUCGUGAAGCUACAAAGUAUGAAAUGGAACGAAUGGAGCAAAUGAAGACUGCCAUACAAAGGCAAAUACACGACAUAGAAAAAGAAGUUGAGGAGACCAAACAAGCUAAAGACAAGAUGGAUCAGCUAAAAGCUGAGCUUGAGGAAGAGAGAAAUGAUCUAGACAGGAAGAGGGAUGAUAUUAAACGACAAAGAGAGCAAUUUGAGCAAAUAAAACAUGAGCUACAUAGAGUGAAAGAAGAGAUGGAGCAAAGAUGGCAUGAGACAGAGAAGGAGGAUUUGGAACGGAGAGCUAUAAUUCAAAGAGAGAAAGAGGAGCUGACAAAUGUGCAAGCGGAAGUUCAGAAAGCAAAAGAAGAGACUGAGAAGAGCAAGGAAGAAUCAAAGCGUGAGAAGGACAAAAUAAACCAAAUGAGAGCAGAAAUGCUUAAAGAGAAACACCUCUUAGAAAAAAGGUGUCAAGAGACUGUGAGAAAAGAAAAGGAGUUGGAGCAGAUUAUUCACAAGAUUAAAACUGAAAGAGAGGAGUUGGCACUAAAUGGAGAGUUAGUAAAACAAGAGUGGGAAAAGGUGGAGCAGGCCAAGGCAGAUUUCCAGUCUCAAAUGACAUCCAUUGAGACAAAAAUUGAGGAAAUAAAGCGAGCAAAUGAAAAACUGGACCGGAUGAAACUGGCCAUUCAUAAUGAAAAGGAGGUUCUGGAAAAGCAGAGGGAUGAUAUACGAAAGGCUAAAGAGGAGAUGGAGAAAAGGAGGUACGAGAUAAUGACAGAGGAGCUGGAACAAAGAGCUCAGUUGCAGAAGAAUAGAGAUGAACUGGAGGCAAUCAAAAAAGAAAUACAGAGAGCUAAUGAUCUGGAAAGAGCAAGAGUGGAGAGAAUGAAAGAGGACAUCACUCGGACAAAGGAGGAGGCUCAACAAGACAGAGAUGCAACUGAACAAAUGAAAGCUGAGAUAAAGAUUGAAAGGGACAACCUUAGAAGAAGACAAGACGAAAUAUUGAGGGAGAGGCAAGAGCUAGAGAGAAUUAGGCAUGAAACAGUCAGAGCCAGAGAGGAGAUGGAGAAAUGCAAGGAAAUCACAAUAGGGGAGAAUGAAAAAAUGGAAAAAAUGAAGGUUGACAUUCAAGCCCAAAUAGAAGAUAUAGAAAAACAGGUUAGAGAGACAACUGAAGCAAAGGAAAACAUGGAUGAGAUGAAAGUGAAAUUGGAGGAGGAGAGGGACGAUUUGGAAAGGAAGAGGGACAGUGUCAAAAGAGAAAUGGAGCAAUGUGAGCUUAUUAAAUUAGAGAUCAUUCGAGUGAAAGAGGAAAUGGAGAGUAGAUGGCAAGAGACUGAAAGAGAAGAAGUAGAGAUGAGAGAAAAAACACAGCAAGAGAGGGAGAGACUUGAACAACUGAGGGAUGAGCUGCAGAUAGUCAAAGAGGAUACAGAAAAGAGCAAGAAAGAGAUAGGGAAAGAAAGGGAAAGUCUUGAAAUGCUGAAAAGACAAACCGCAGAGGACAGAGACGCUGCAGUCAAAAAGAUGGAUGAGGUCAAAACAAAAACUGAGGAGUUAUCACAUGUUAAAAAUGAGAUAGAAAAAGAGAAAGAAGACAUCAAAAGAGAUUGGGAAGUGAUUAAUCAAAAGCUGAAUGAAAUUACACAAAUGAGAGACGAACUUCAAAAUCAAAUGGCAGAAAUUGAAAAUAAGACUGCUGCAGCCAAGUCAGCCAAAGACGAGGCAGAUAAAGCCAAGCUUGCAGCAGAGGAAGUGGAGCUGAUCUUGAAAAAGCAAAAGGAAGAAAUGGAAAAGAGAAGAUAUGAGACUGUGAAAGAGGAGCUGGAGCAAAGAGCUGAGAUACAAAGAAAAAAGGAGGAACUGGAGCAUUUGAAUAAUGAGAUACAAAUAGCCCAAACAACAUUACAAACAACAAGAGACACUGACAAAGAUACAUUAGAGAAGAUUUUGCUUGAAGCACAGGAAGAGAGAAUGAUUACUGAGCAAAUCAAAACUGCACUGCAGAGUGAAAUGGUUCUUCAGGAAAGGCGAACAGGUGAGAUAGAAAAAGAAAGGCAAGAGCUAGAGAAUCUUCAGUUCCAGAUGCAGAAGAUGAAGGAGGAGCUGGAAAAGAAGCAGUAUGACACCAUGAGAGAUGAUCUGGAGAGGAGGGCUGGGCAGCAGAGAGAAAGGGAAGAGCUUGAUAGGAUCAGGGCUGAGCUGGAGAGCGACAAAGCGGCCCUACACAGAAGCGGCGAGAUGAUAAAUCAAGAUAAAGAAAAGUUGGAACAGAUGAUGAUAGGAUUUCAAGAGCAAAAGGAAGAUAUAAAAAGAAGACUAGAACAUGCCAGACAAGCAGAGGAUGGAAUAAGACAAAUGAGAGAAGAAAUUGAGCUUCAAAGAGAACAUCUGGAGAGGGUUCGUGUGGAGACGGAGAAGGAGAAAGAGCCAUAUGAAAAAGUCAAGAAUGAGCUUAACAGAUUGAGAGGGGAGAUGGAAAGACUUUGGGAUGAAGCAGAAGGAGAAGAACAGGAGGAAAGAGAGAAAUUUCUGAGAGAGAAGGAGGAGAUGAAUAAGAAGAUGGAGGAGAUGAACUAUGAGAUGAUGCAGAUCCAAGACUUGAAAAUGGAGUUAAAAAGACAGAGGGAGGAGGUAGAGGUAAAACUGGAGAAGGCAAAGAGAGAAAUGAAUAAACUUGAGCAGCUGAAGGCAGACCUGCAGAGACGCAAAGAGGAGAUUGAGAAAAAAACUGCAGAGACUAAGAGUGAGAGGGAUGAAUUGGAGCAGGUGAGAGCUGAGAUACUAAGGCAAAAGGAAGACGUGGAAAACAAAAUGCGACUAGCGAAAACAGAGAUGGAAAAGAUGCAACGAGUCAAGGAAGAAAUACAACAACAAAGAGAUGAAUUGGAAGGAAGGAUGCAGAGGGCAAAAAGAGAAAUGGAAGAGAUGGAGCUCAUGAAAAAAGAAAUGGACCGAAAGAAAAAGGAGGUUGAUCAAAGAAUGAAGCAGACCAUGAGGAAAAAAGAAGAGAUGGACAGAAUAAAGAUGGAAAUACAGAAAGCCAAAGAAGAAAUGGAACAUAGAAAGGCAGAGACUGAGAAGGAGAGAUAUGAGAUGGAAUGUGUUAAAGCUGAGAUCCAAAAAGCAAGAGAGGAAUUUGAGAUUAGGGUAGAAGAGAGAGGUCCAGAUCUCGAAGAAAAAGAAGAGAUAAAUGCUGAGAUCAUCAGCUUGAUUCGUCAGAUUGAAAGAACUAGGGAGAUGAUAUGGAAUACUAAACUUCAGGUGGAAAACAGGGUGGCGGAAAGUCAACUGGAAGCAGUAUACAAAGAGCAGAUGAACGCAGAGAUGCAGAGACUCAUUGUAGAAGUUGAACAAAUCAGAGAGAUGCUGCGAAGGCUUAAAAAAGAAAUGGAACAAAACAAGGAGGUUAUCAGGAGUGAGAAGGAUGAGAUAAGAAUGUUAAAGACCGAGAUGCAACGAAGAAGAAGAGACUUACAAUACAGAGAAGAAAAGAAUAUGAGAGAGCGGGCUGAGUUGGAAGUCAUGAGUGCCAAGAUAAAGCGACAAAAAGAAGAGCUGGAGGACAGACUAGAAGACAUUGUACAACAAAAUGAGAAGACAGAGCAGAUGAAAGAAGAAGUGCAACGGGCUUUGGAGAAAAUGGAGCUUGAAAAGGAGGAAAUAAGCCAGGCAAAAGAAAUAAUACUCCAAAGGAAGACCAAGGAAGAGAAGGUAAGCAAAUAUUUAGUGUUUUUUUUUUCUUUUCUUUUCCAGUUGUUCCAUAGUAUGAAUGGUUAUAUUAUGUAGCAGGACUGAAAAAGUCUGAUGUAUACAUGACAUUUUGAAAAGUGUUAAACAAAGAAAAGUUAUGACAAGUAAAAG